ACCUACGGGACGCAGCAGUGAGGAAUAUUGGUCAAUGGUCGGGAGACUGAACCAGCCAAGCAGCGUGAGGGAUGAAGGUACAGAGUAUCGUAAACCUCUUUUGUCAGGGAACAAAGGCGGGGACGUGUCCCCGGAUGAGUGUACCUGAAGAAAAAGCAUCGGCUAACUCCGUGCCAGCAGCCGCGGUAAUACGGAGGAUGCGAGCGUUAUCCGGCUUUAUUGGGUUUAAAGGGUGCGCAGGCGGUCUGUUAAGUCAGCGGUCAAAUCGUGGGGCUCAACCCCAUCCAGCCGUU
rnacentral:rRNA from 1 species